rnacentral:rRNA from 1 species
UACGUAGGGUGCAAGCGUUAAUCGGAAUUACUGGGCGUAAAGCGUGCGCAGGCGGUUUCGUAAGUCUGUCGUGAAAUCCCCGGGCUUAACCUGGGAAUGGCGAUGGAGACUGCGAGGCUAGAGUUUGGCAGAGGGGGGUAGAAUUCCACGUGUAGCAGUGAAAUGCGUAGAGAUGUGGAGGAAUACCGAUGGCGAAGGCAGCCCCCUGGGAUAACACUGACGCUCAUGCACGAAAGCGUGGGGAGCAAACAGG